ACAAAAGUAUGAUUAGACAACUCAGAGUUAGAUUAUGCUAUAUCUGAAUCACCAAGCAGCUCAGAAUCCUCAUCCUCCUCCUUCUCUUCUGGGGAAUCAUCAAGCAAACACACAUAGUACACAAAUCUCGCAUUUUUUGCAACAUCAGCAUCAGGAGGAGGAGGAGGAGAAAAGUAUAAAAGAACAUCCUCCUACAUAAGGAAUUAUUGGUUGGCAAACAUGAUGACUACUAAUUAUGGGUAUCUCAAAAGGAAUUAGAGAUAACGUAUGCGCGACUACUACCAGUACUCGCGUACUCACCGCUAGCAGGGACUUCAGGCAAGGUGGCGUCAGAAACUGCCUCUGGUGUUUUCACAAUUCCAC
rnacentral:lncRNA from 1 species